rnacentral:rRNA from 1 species
ACGAACGCUGGCGGCGUGCCUAAUACAUGCAAGUCGAACGCUUCUUUUUCCACCGGAGCUUGCUCCACCGGAAAAAGAGGAGUGGCGAACGGGUGAGUAACACGUGGGUAACCUGCCCAUCAGAAGGGGAUAACACUUGGAAACAGGUGCUAAUACCGUAUAACAAUCGAAACCGCAUGGUUUUGAUUUGAAAGGCGCUUUCGGGUGUCGCUGAUGGAUGGACCCGCGGUGCAUUAGCUAGUUGGUGAGGUAACGGCUCACCAAGGCGACGAUGCAUAGCCGACCUGAGAGGGUGAUCGGCCACAUUGGGACUGAGACACGGCCCAAACUCCUACGGGAGGCAGCAGUAGGGAAUCUUCGGCAAUGGACGAAAGUCUGACCGAGCAACGCCGCGUGAGUGAAGAAGGUUUUCGGAUCGUAAAACUCUGUUGUUAGAGAAGAACAAGGAUGAGAGUAACUGUUCAUCCCUUGACGGUAUCUAACCAGAAAGCCACGGCUAACUACGUGCCAGCAGCCGCGGUAAUACGUAGGUGGCAAGCGUUGUCCGGAUUUAUUGGGCGUAAAGCGAGCGCAGGCGGUUUCUUAAGUCUGAUGUGAAAGCCCCCGGCUCAACCGGGGAGGGUCAUUGGAAACUGGGAGACUUGAGUGCAGAAGAGGAGAGUGGAAUUCCAUGUGUAGCGGUGAAAUGCGUAGAUAUAUGGAGGAACACCAGUGGCGAAGGCGGCUCUCUGGUCCGUAACUGACGCUGAGGCUCGAAAGCGUGGGGAGCAAACAGGAUUAGAUACCCUGGUAGUCCACGCCGUAAACGAUGAGUGCUAAGUGUUGGAGGGUUUCCGCCCUUCAGUGCUGCAGCUAACGCAUUAAGCACUCCGCCUGGGGAGUACGACCGCAAGGUUGAAACUCAAAGGAAUUGACGGGGGCCCGCACAAGCGGUGGAGCAUGUGGUUUAAUUCGAAGCAACGCGAAGAACCUUACCAGGUCUUGACAUCCUUUGACCACUCUAGAGAUAGAGCUUCCCCUUCGGGGGCAAAGUGACAGGUGGUGCAUGGUUGUCGUCAGCUCGUGUCGUGAGAUGUUGGGUUAAGUCCCGCAACGAGCGCAACCCUUAUUGUUAGUUGCCAUCAUUUAGUUGGGCACUCUAGCAAGACUGCCGGUGACAAACCGGAGGAAGGUGGGGAUGACGUCAAAUCAUCAUGCCCCUUAUGACCUGGGCUACACACGUGCUACAAUGGGAAGUACAACGAGUCGCAAAGUCGCGAGGCUAAGCUAAUCUCUUAAAGCUUCUCUCAGUUCGGAUUGUAGGCUGCAACUCGCCUACAUGAAGCCGGAAUCGCUAGUAAUCGCGGAUCAGCACGCCGCGGUGAAUACGUUCCCGGGCCUUGUACACACCGCCCGUCACACCACGAGAGUUUGUAACACCCGAAGUCGGUGAGGUAACCUUUUGGAGCCAGCCGCCUAAGGUGGGAUAGAUGAUUGGGGUG